UAAGACGUAGGGCGCGAGCGUUGUCCGGAUUUACUGGGCGUAAAGGGCGCGUAGGCGGCGACUCAAGUCAGAUGUGAAAGUCCUGGGCUUAACCUGGGGACUGCAUUUGAUACUGGGUUGCUUGAAUUCGGGAGAGGAUAGCGGAAUUCCCAGUGUAGAGGUGAAAUUCGUAGAUAUUGGGAAGAACACCGGUGGCGAAGGCGGCUAUCUGGACCGACAUUGACGCUGAGGCGCGAAAGCGUGGGGAGCAAACAG
rnacentral:rRNA from 1 species